rnacentral:rRNA from 1 species
AAUAGCCUAACGGCUGAACCAGCAACUUGGAGGAAUGUAUAGCUAAGGCUAAAUGUAUUAUGUAAUAAUACAGAUUCGAUUUAUUCGUAUAAAGUUCUAGAUAGAAUUAUGAUAAUGACAUUGUCUAUCUAUAAGUCUUGACUAACAUACGUGCCAGCAGUCGCGGAAAGACGUAAAAGACUAGUGUUAUUCAUCUUUAAUAGGUUUAAAGCGUACCUAGACGGUAAAUCAAGCCUUAACCGGGACUAAUUUUACUAGAGUUAGAUGUAAGGGUGCAUUAAUGUACUGUUGAGUGUAGAGAUGAAAUUCUAUUAUACCAGAUUAUUGGCACGGGUUUAGGCGAAAGCAUCGCCUUAUGUAAUAACUGACGUUGAGGGACGAAGGCUUUGUAUCGCGAACAGGAUUAGGUACCCCAGUAGUCUAAGCAGAAAAUGAUGAGUGUCAUAGGUUAAAUAUUAUUUGGUCUAUAAAUGAAAGUGUAAGCAUUCCACCUCAAGAGUAAUUUGGCAACAUUGGAAUUGAAAUCAUUAGACCGUUUCUGAAACCAGUAGUGAAGUAUGUUGUUUAAUUAGACAGCCCACCAAGAACCUUACCACAACUUGAAUAUUUUACAAGCGUUGCACGGCUGUCUUCAGUUAAUGUCGUGAGAUUAUGGUUAGUUCCAUUAAAUUAACGUAAACCCUUACUUUAUUUUUAGAUAAAGUUGUUCGCCGCUAGAUUGGUUAGAUAAAAGGGACUAAGACAAGUCAUCAUGGCCUUGAUGUUGU